UCCGUAGGUGAACCUGCGGAAGGAUCAUUAACCAGCCGUGAAGGUCGCCCUGGAAAGGGAAUGACCUCUCACCCGGCCAUCCUUGCUUAUUUUAAACCCGUUGCUUUGGUGGGCCCGCUGCAAGGCCGCCGGGGAACUUGGCCCAAGGGUUCCUGGGCCCGUGUCCAUCAAAGUCCUAACCGAACUCUGUAAACCCUAAGUUGUCUGAGUGUGAAAGCAUAACCUUUUAAAACUUUCAGCAACGGAUCUCUUGGCUCUCGCAUCGAUGAAGAACGCAGCGAAAUGCGAUAAGUAAUGUGAAUUGCAGAAUUCAGUGAAUCAUCGAAUCUUUGAACGCACCUUGCGCCCUCUGGUAUUCCGAGGAGCAUGCCUGUUUGAGUGUCAUUUAAUUCUCAAUCCCUACAAUCUUGUAUUGUUUAGUGGAUUGGAUGUGGGGGUCCUUGUGGGUCUAUCUAUUAGAUCUGCUCCCCUAAAAAUCAUUAGCUGGAAUGCCUUUGCAAAACCAACUAUCAGUAUGAUAAUUAUCUACUCUGAUGUUGUUGUUAAAGGGGAUCUGCUUUCAAAUUGUCGUUUAGACACUAUGAAUCAAUUUGACCUCAAAUCAGGUAGGACUACCCGUUGAACUUAAGCAUAUCAAUAAGCGGAGGA
rnacentral:rRNA from 1 species